rnacentral:rRNA from 1 species
UGACGUCAAAUCAUCAUGCCCCUUAUGACCUGGGCUACACACGCGCUACAAUGGGCGGUACAAAGGGUCGCGAACCCGCGAGGGGGGAGCCAAUCCCAAAAAGCCGCUCUCAGUUCGGAUUGCAGGCUGCAACUCGCCUGCAUGAAGCCGGAAUCGCUAGUAAUCGCGGAUCAGCAUGCCGCGGUGAAUACGUUCCCGGGCCUU